rnacentral:ncRNA from 1 species
UAAGGGGUGUCCGCCGUGGGCGGGCUGAGAUUAGACCCUCGAACCUGAUCCGGGUAAUGCCGGCGUAGGGAUGAACAGACC